GUCAGAGUUUGAUCCUGGCUCAGAUUGAACGCUGGCGGCAGGCCUAACACAUGCAAGUCGAGCGGCAGCGGGAAAGUAGCUUGCUACUUUUGCCGGCGAGCGGCGGACGGGUGAGUAAUGCCUGGGGAUCUGCCCAGUCGAGGGGGAUAACAGUUGGAAACGACUGCUAAUACCGCAUACGCCCUACGGGGGAAAGGAGGGGACCUUCGGGCCUUUCGCGAUUGGAUGAACCCAGGU
rnacentral:rRNA from 1 species